UAUAUUUUCCUAGUGGAUUUGCCAGUAUUUCUCCAGCCAUGAUUGUAAAGUUAACCUUUCAAAAGAUGAAAGAGCUGAAAAUAAAUCAAUGUGAGAGGAAAACCGGAAAGAUUUUAUCUGUGGAAGACAGGGAAUAAACAAUGAAACAGAAACAAAGAGAGGAAGAUCAGAGAUACAUUAAUCAUAACAAAUUCUCUCCCAGAAGAGCAGAAUGGAAAUUAAGAACUAGUGAUGGGAGAGCUACAGACGUGCAUUUUGAGUGUUCCUAAAAUAAAUAAAUGAGAUGGUGGAGUAAAGACCAGCAGAAAAAUACAACCACUCUGGAGGAACUUAGAGCAGAGACACCUGGAGAAGAACAACUUGCCCAUGUCUGUUGCCAGUGCUUUUUAAGCCAUUGGUCUUGGGAGAAUAGCAGUUCACCGUACCUUUCUUCAAUAUUUCAUGGCAAUCUCUGA
rnacentral:lncRNA from 1 species